rnacentral:rRNA from 1 species
UCCAGACUCCUACGGGAGGCAGCAGUGGGGAAUAUUGCACAAUGGGGGAAACCCUGAUGCAGCGACGCCGCGUGAGCGAAGAAGUAUUUCGGUAUGUAAAGCUCUAUCAGCAGGGAAGAAAAAAAUGACGGUACCUGAGUAAGAAGCACCGGCUAAAUACGUGCCAGCAGCCGCGGUAAUACGUAUGGUGCAAGCGUUAUCCGGAUUUACUGGGUGUAAAGGGAGCGUAGGCGGCGCGUUAAGUCUGAUGUGAAAACCCGAGGCUCAACCACGGGAGUGCAUUGGAAACUGGCGGGCUGGAGUGCCGGAGAGGUAAGCGGAAUUCCUAGUGUAGCGGUGAAAUGCGUAGAUAUUAGGAGGAACACCAGUGGCGAAGGCGGCUUACUGGACGGCAACUGACGCUGAGGCUCGAAAGCGUGGGGAGCAAACAGGAUUAGAUACCCUGGUAGG